rnacentral:lncRNA from 1 species
GCGAAGGUAGCUCUCUCGAUCUCCAAAUCGGAGUUAGAGUCCUUCCAAUCUAACCUAAACAAAGGUUCUAAACCCAUCAAUUGGGUUCCAAAGCCCUCAAAACGAAAAUCCCCAAAUCUAACCCUAAUUUUCAAAAUCUAGGGUUUGAUCUAGUAAAAUCCAACAAAAUCCGAAUCUAGAGGAGAGAAAUAGUUACUAACCUCUUAGAAGCUCCAAACCAAGCUCCAAAGUCCUCUAGGGUUGAAGGUUGAUCCUCAAACAAGCUCCAACCAAGAUCUCACACUUCUCCAAUGGUGGAAAACCCACAAAAAGCAAGAAGGAGAAGAGAAAAGAGAUCAAAACUAGCAAAAAUCCAACAAAAAUGGAGAAGAAACCAUAGGGGAGGAGUUCUCACCUGUUCUCCACUGGUCUAGGGCUCGAAGGAGCUCACAAAGGGGCUGGGGUGACAUAUAUAGAUGUUGUAACAAUUGCAAACACCCCCCUGCCCAAACUGCACCCCAGACUGCACUGUGUGCCAGUACACGGGUUUGUGUACCGGUACACCACCCACGAAAAGCCAACCCGAGCCUCGGGUUUGCUGGGAAAUAGCCUGUGUAUCGGUACACAGGCCCGCGUACCGGUACACUGCCCUCUGAAGGCUACCCGAGAGCUAGCCAAAAAUCCAACUUUUUGGAUUUUGACGCAAGGUUUUAAACCACCAUUCUUGGGACUCGAACCAUAGGUCGAAACACUGUCGAUGACCCACCAGAAAGUCUGGAAAAGCUCAUAACCCAUUCAAUCACUCGAACCCAGCAAUUUGCAAGGUCUAAUGCAUCACAUUCACCCCUCCUAAAAAGGAGUUUCGUCCGCAAAACUCAAAAGCAAAAGCAUACCUCAAGGCUCCAUCUGAAAAAGAUGGGGAUAGCGCUCCUGCAGCGCACUCUCUAGCUCCCACGUGGCCUCGCGCUCCGCAUGAUUGCUCCAAAGAACCUUCACAUACGGAAUAUCCCGAUUCCGUAGCUUCUUCACCUCGCGAGCCAAGAUCUUCACGGGUUGCUCCUCGAAGCUCAAAUCCUCGCGCAGCUCCAUUGGUAUAGCUUUCAAAACAUGAGCUGGAUCAUGAAUGUACCUCCGAAGGACCGAUACAUGAAAGACGUUGUGCACGCCCGAUAGGUUCGGCGGUAGAGCAAGUCGAUACGCUACCGGGCCUACACGUUCCAAGAUCUCAUACGGUCCAAUAAACCUGGGGCUCAGCUUUCCCCGAAUCCCGAAUCUCUUGAUUCCUCUAGUCUGCGAGACCUUCAAGAAGACAUGGUCUCCAACUUGGAACUCUAAGUCUCGCCGCCGUCGAUCGGCAUAGCUCCUCUGUCUACUCUGCGCCGUCAAAAGUCGCUCCCGAGCAAUUCGAACCUUGUCCUCAGCUUCCUGGAGACAUAAGGCAAAAGCAAUUCUCUCGCGACUUCACUCAAUUGAGAGUGGCGAUCUACACUUCCGUCUAUAAGUGCUUCGGGGCGCCUCUUUUGAUGUUACUUGAUAACGUUGUUAUAGCAAAACUCCGCCAUAGGUAGAUGCUGCGACAUCUCCUGUUAAUUUUCUAUACAAUGCCCAGAGCAUAUCCUCUAAGGUCGAUAGUGCGUCCGUACUUGGUUCCAUCAAUCUGCGGGUUGAAAUGCUGUAUGAAUCCAAUGGGUCUUGCAUAAGGCGUCCUGUUAGACUCCUCAAAAGUGAGCACAAACGAGGUGUCUUCGAUCAGAUACACUCGAUGUAGGCACUAUUGCAGUCGCACAAUCUCAUCAAGGAUUUACACUUGUUGGAGCUUCUCUCGGUCCAAGUCGUAUGAUAGGUGAUGAAGUGCGCCGACUUCGGCUCAAACCUAUCCAUGAUCACCCAAAUAGGUUAUGCCCGCCUGAUUGAGCGCGGCAAUCCUGUCACAAUAGUCCUAUGUGUGAUUCUUCUCCAUUUCCACACGGAAUAGGCCAAACUCUGAAGUUUUCCGCGCGGCAACUCGGUGCUCGCUUUACUUGUUGCAAGUUAGACAAAUCGAGCUACAAAGUCGCAAAUCCUUUUUCAUCCGGCAGCCAAUAAAGCAACUUUAGAUUUUGUAUUAUGGUGCCUCCAGGAUGUAUAAUACGGCGUCGGUGCGCUUCUUGAAAGAGUUUUCUUUAAUUUCUGGAUGCGAGUAUACAAAUUAGCCACGGAAAUGCUUAAAUCCCUGAUCGUCCAAAGGAAGUUCUGCCGGUGACCUCAACAUUUUAGCUCGAAUCUUUUUGCAAUCCACAUCGGAGCUUGCUUCUCUUUGAUUCUCUCAAAGGUAGUUUGUACUACCAAUGUUCAUCAACCUAAUAGGCGCUGUUCAGGAGUCACUAUCUCAACUCAACGCUUAUGCUCGAUCAAUGCCGGUUGGUCACAAAAUGAUCCUAAGUUUUCCACCGAUUUCCUACUUGCGCAUUCCGCCCAAUGUUAGCCUUGCAUAGUGGUAAAGGAUCGUUAGUCAUGUCCUGAGUAGCUCCAACAUCGGCGCUGCUCAAGUUUCAUCCUUCUGAGUGAAUAAAUACUUUUAAAUCUUGUGUCUGUGUAUACUUCACACGCUUCUGCCCAUAAAGAUUGUGGCCUAGCUUCAUGGAACACUUACAGGCGCACUCCAAAUCAUGGUCGGAGUAGUUUUUAUCAUAUUCCUUUAGUUGUGCGAGAAAGGCAAUACGCGAUCACCUUGCAUCCAUGAUCAAUACAAGCCCAUCCAUUCAAGUGAAGCUAUCACUUAUUAAACACGAUACCUGCUUCCGCUACUGGUAGCCGGUCAGGAUCGGAGGGUAGUUCAAUUUCUCUGCUUUAACUUUGGAAGUCUUCGCUCGCACGGUCAUUCCAAAUGAAUUGCACUCCUUUGUGCUCGUUGGUCGUGAGCGGGAGUACAGUUUGGGCAAAACCCUCUACAAAUCUCGGUUAGUAACCGGCCAAAUCCAGGAAUCCGUUAUCUCCGUGCGCUCUUCGUCUCGGUCAUCCUUGUUGCUUCAAUUUUUGGGAUCCACGCUUAUACCGAUUCCGAAAUCAGUGUCAGGAAAGUACCUCUCGAGCAAAAUUCACAUUUUUCUAUCAACUUGGAUAAAGCUUUUUUGAAGUACUUGGAGUACACUCUUCAAGUGUUCCUCGUGAUCUUGAAUCACUUCGAGAGUAGACAAUUCGUCCUAUGAUCACAUGACGAACUGUCUGAUAGGCUUGAAACACAGUUAUUAGAUCAUAAAGACAUGCCGAAGCAUUAGUAAGCCCCGAACGGUUAAUGUGAAUUAGUAAUGUCCUACAGUGUUUAAAAGCGUUUCAUAUACAUCCUCGGGUUUGAUCUUCAUUGGUGAGUAUACGACUGUAAGUUAUCUUGGAUUACACACUGAUCCCUGAGCGCUGAUAGGGGAAUGAUCAAACAAGUGCGUCAGAUCAUUGGCAACGGAUACUUGUUCUUUGAUGUGACUUUGUUGAGUUCAGAUAAUCCACACAAAGGGAAUGUGAUCGCGUCUGUUUUCUUGACGAACAAACUUUGGUGUCCCAAGGUAGAGAAGGUCGGGCGAAUAAAGCCUUGUCCAAAAAUCCUGUAGCUGUGCCCUCGCUCCCUCAGUGCCGCUGGCUCUCCCUAUUAGGCGCAUUGAGAUUGGAGAUAGUCCAGAGGACGAGAUCUACACAAACUCAAUUCCCUAUAGGAGGCCUUACCCAGGUAGCUCAGCUGGAAAAACAUCUGGACUCUCGCAGCCGGGAAUAUCUCACCUAAGGGGUAUCAUCCUCCCCUACACCCAUAGCCAAAUUAGGCUACUUCAACUCUUGCUGAAUCAGUGCAGUUAUCGAAGAUGAGUUGAUCGUCAUCGAAACAGUGAACUCGGAUUUUCAAAUACACAUCGGUCUGUCCGUCUUCUAAAAGAACGACGUGCGAUUUCUGUACAAUCAAUUGUUUGGCUAAUUAUUGGUAACAAUCCAUUGACAGACCACGUUCAAAAAUCUCCUGUUUGCGCAAAGCUAGCAAUAUUACAGGCAUAAUCAAUUCCUCUACCGACAGGGCAUGGGGUAUACUCUCUAAUAUUCCAAAACGUGGGUGGGUACAAAACAUGUCCGUAUGCAAUAAUGAAACCAAGGAAUGCCAUGAACUAGUAAACAGGAUCUAUGAAUGAAUGCGACGCACCGGUAUCAAAUAAGUCGAACUCUAAUGCUAUAAGUAAAAUGAUAUUGAACCACAUCCUCUGGCUGCUGCCGCCUCCUCAGUCUGAGCGGCGUUAAAUAGGCCCACCGGCGGCCUGUUGAGAUCACUCGUUUCUCAUCGAUUGGACCGUCGUGGCGCCCAGAGCUGAUAUGUGCGAUGCACAGUCCCCUGGCUGGCGGCUGGUAGGUGGUGCGAUACAGUCGACCAAGGCAGUGCGCGGUGAGACCUAUUGGGCACCGUAAGCAGUGCCAUCCUGGAACACUGAGAAACACCUGCCCGCCGCUGCUGGACAUUGCGGUGAGGUAAUGGAACACGGCAGAUCACACGGGCAAGGCCGGCGGCGAUCGGAUCCUCCUUGAUACGGCUGAGCCGGCGGUUCGUGCUGGUCCUCGGACAUUGCUUCGGCGGCUACCUAGAAGUGUGUUGACUCGCCCUCAAGCGAAGAUUUGCCUUCCUUGUCCUAGCUCACGCUGAAUCUCCUGGGACCUCUGUUCGGCGCGUCUCUGAUGAAAGGUGCGUCCACAAUCCCAAUAGGUUUGGAGCGUUAGAGGAUUGCCAAAACGGAAGAUCGUAUUGGUCGCCAACCUCGCUCGAAGAUGCGGGCCUUGUCUUGUAUUCCCGCCACGACGAAGGGACGCAAUGCCAGAAAGCCGAGAAAACUCCUCUCGUAAUGGCUACAGUUCUUCAUGUCACCGUAGCGCAAGCUGGGAAAUCCUGCUCAUCUUGCCUACUUGCGCUGGUCGAGGAGACCACCCGUAGGUGUUGGUGGCUCGUAUGAGAACCCACCAGUAGGCUGUUGGCCGGUGCUGAGCCUAAUGGCCUCGUUGGUAGCUAUCAAUCCCACCUAGGAAUGAGCCUAUCCCACGGCAGAUCACUUCGGCGCCCAAUCCGACGAGGAUAUGAAUCGCGCAUGGCGUAUUUAGUAGUGCCGGUUGUAGGAGUGACCUCACAAGCAUGGUGCGAAUGAGCACAAUGGCAUAAGUAGUCAUCGAUCUGUCGCAAGCUACCAGUCAUCAUGUCUAAUACUGGGAAUGUGUCAAGCUAUGCCAAUGGCCUAUCCCUAUGUCCAUUAUUCUCUAACUGGAAUGUAGCGGUAUGUAUUGGACUAUCAGUAUGUCACUAUGUUUAAAUUUCAUAGUUUCAUAUUCAAGUCCCCUUAUGGACACUUUGUUCUCUUGUCAACAUGGCCAUAUGUUUCAAGACCUACAUGUUCCAAGUAUAUUCGUUUCCUAAGAGAUAUGUUCCUACUUCGCACACAAACACUUUAAUCGUAUGCAUUGCUGUCCUUACAAUUUAGCACUACUAUAUAGAGUACAUUUUUCAUGAUCUAUAGCACCUGAUUUUAAUGUGUUUAAAAUUUUAUGAUUUAAAUAAAUUUAUUUAUAUAAAAUGAUUCAAAAAUACUUUAGCAACAAGUAUUAAGAGCAUAGGGGCCAUUUGGCCCAUUUUCUACAAAGUUCAACCACCAAAAUAGGUCUUCUUCAUUUCGCGAACGAAGUAUCCACAUAGCUUCCUAGUACCUAGAACAUCAAAAAUAGGGUCCACCCAAACGAAACGAAAGAGCCAAUGGCUCAAUCAUUAAGCUUCUCAGCUAAGGUUAAGGAGAAACUCACGAUCGAGGUAGCUCUCUCGAUCUCCAAAUCGGAGUGAGUCCUUCCAAGUCUAACCUAAACAAAGGUCUGAAAACUCCAUCUAAUUGGUUCCAAAGCCCUCAAACGAAAAUCCCCAAAUCUAACGCACUAAUUUUCAAAAAUCUAAGGGUUUUGAUCUAUAAAAUCACAAAUCCGAUCUAGAGAGAGGAAAUAGUUACUAACGCUUUAGAAGUCCAACAAGCCCAAGUCCUCUCAGGCGUUGACAAGUUGUAUCCUCAACAAGCUCCAACCAAGAUCUCAAACACUUCUCCCAAGGUGCGUGGAAAACCCACAAACAGCAAGAAGGAGAAGAGAAAAGAGAUCAAAAUAGUCAAAAAUCCAACAAAAAUGGAGAAAGAAACGAUAGCGGGAGGAGUUCUCACCUGUUCUCCACUGGUCUAGGGCUCAAAGGAGCUCACAAAGGGGCUGGGGUGACAUAUAUAGAUGUUGUAACAAUUGCAAACACCCCCCUGCCCGAACUGCACCCCAGACUGCACUGUGUACCGGUACACGGGUUUGUGUACCGG